GGCUCGCAGGCGGUUUCUUAAGUCUGAUGUGAAAGCCCCCGGCUCAACCGGGGAGGGUCAUUGGAAACUGGGGAACUUGAGUGCAGAAGAGGAGAGUGGAAUUCCACGUGUAGCGGUGAAAUGCGUAGAGAUGUGGAGGAACACCAGUGGCGAAGGCGACUCUCUGGUCUGUAACUGACGCUGAGGAGCGAAAGCGUGGGG
rnacentral:rRNA from 1 species